rnacentral:rRNA from 1 species
AUUGAACGCUGGCGGCAUGCCUUACACAUGCAAGUCGAACGGUAACGCGGGGCAACCUGGCGACGAGUGGCGAACGGGCGAGCAAUGUAUCGGAACGUGCCCAGUGGUGGGGGAUAACUGCUCGAGAGAGCAGCUAAUACCGCAUACGCCCUGAGGGUGAAAGCGGGGGAUCGCAUGACCUCGCGCCAUUGGAGCGGCCCAUAUCAGUUUAGGUAGUUGGUGGGGUAAAGGCCUACCAAGCCGACGAUCUGUAGCUGGUCUGAGAGGAUGACCAGCCACACUGGGACUGAGACACGGCCCAGACUCCUACGGGAGGCAGCAGUGGGGAAUUUUGGACAAUGGGGGCAAGCCUGAUCCAGCCAUGCCGCGUGCGGGAAGAAGGCCUUCGGGUUGUAAACCGCUUUUGUCAGGGAAGAAAAGACUCCUACUAAUAGUGGGGGUUCAUGACGGUACCUGAAGAAUAAGCACCGGCUAACUACGUGCCAGCAGCCGCCGUAA